CCGCGGGCAGCAUGGCGGCGGCGCACGCGCGGCUGCCGGGGUGAGGGCGCUCCCUGAGGAGAAGCCGGGUGGAGGCGGGGAGGUGGCGGCGGGGCUGUGAGAAACACUCCGGAGCCGAUAAUUGAGGCUCAGAGAUGAAAGCAACCAAAACUACACCUUGCAUGCUGGUGAGCCACCAUUUGCGACGAGGAGGACUGAGGGACCUGCAGAGGUCACCAUUUCUCCACCGAGGCUUUCCCCUCUCAGUGAGGAAACUCCAGCUGCGGUUACUGCCUUCUGCUGAAACUGCAUGUGCUGCAGCCGAGUUAUUUCUAUCAGUUUCCUGCAAUAUUCUAAGAAGUUCCACCAGCAUAAAUAAGUGGAAAAGAAGAUGCGAAGAAGGAAGGAAAAGGUGGCUGCUCAGGCUGGCACUGACGUGAAAAAAAAUGCUUAUGUGCAUCAAAGCUGAGCACCCUGAGGCCUGGAGGCUGACCUGUCCCUGCUUGCCUGGCAGCAGCAGCCCUUGCAACAGUGGUGGCCAACCCUCAGUUACUGCAGUCCACAAACCAGCAGUGUGCCCGGUGCUCUGAGAAAUGGAGAGCUGUGCAAAGUUCCCCUCCCGUGGAGCUUACAGCCAGAAAAAUCCUCUGUGCACAACCCAGGCUGGCAGAAUGGCAGCUCAUCCGCAGUGGGAGCCCAAAGAGUGCAGUGGGUUUGAAGGGAGCACAACUAGAAAGACAUUCCAAAACUGGCUGCGUGGUAUUUAGAGAUCUGGGUACCAGCUGUAACGUGCACAUAUUUGCAGAGACUUCUGUUCAGCCAAGAAUGGGCUGUGGGCUCAGGAUGCUUCAUCGAAGUGGUGGCUCAGAAGUAGACUGGCUGUUCAGUCUCCAGUGAAGCAGAUGAGAAGUGCAAUCGGUCUCCGCCAGAAGAACCAGGUACCCUUCGAUCUCUGAGUCCUCUAAUGAUCUUGCAAUGACACUGGGCCAAGGAAGAGUUUGUCUCUUCUUUCUUGUCACUGGGCACCCAGCACUAGGAUUGUUUUUCAGAAGUUGGGGCUACGUGUGAGUUGCGUUCCUGACAGCCCAGAGAUACCUGCUACUGUGAUGGAGAAGUGGAACUGACCUGAACGUGGGGCAGAUUUGAAUAAACCCUUUCACCUGUCCAGCAGUGCAGAAUUGUUCUUUGCCUUUUGUUUGCUCUGGCUGUGCUCAGGCUAAUCACAACCAACAAAACUUCAGCUGUUUGGGCAAGCGUAUCACAAGCCAGUGCACCUCAGCCUUAGGAAAUUUAUCUUGCUGUUCAAGACAAUUCCUCAAACUCCUUGACAUUUACUCCUAUGGGUAUUUGUAGACUGUUAUGUCUGCCCUUACUUGUUGUUUAACCUAGCAAUAAGCAUUUAGCUCUGUCCUCAUAAAUCAUUUCCCUUCAGCUCUCUGGCUAGAAUGACUGCGUGUGCUCCUAACUAUGAAAAACCCAGGCUAAGCCCACCCUUUAAAUGUCUGCUCCCCGCUGGGCUUGAUUGGUGGCACAAAAUCAAUGUUCAAGCCAUGAUUUCAUUCCUGGCUCACUGCACGAUCCUUUGCUGAUUACACUGACCUAAAGAUCCAUAUCCACAAUUCACCAGAUUUCUUUCCUGUGUCCUCCUGCAUCCUCUUAAGACUUGUUCCACCUCUUCUUCCAACUUUAAAACUACCAGUUUUGGGUCUCUCUACUUUUUUUUUUUUUUUUUUUUUUUUGGUAGUGGUCACAACCACAGACAUGAGAAGGCCCAGAGAGAUCUCUCACCUCGCAUACAACAUCAUCCCAUCAGUACAGGGUAUCCAACCAUCCUGUGUGAAGUAGAGCGUUCUCUUUCUGGCUGGUAAAAUUUUGGAAAUUGCAAAAUUAUCUUGCAGGCAAGAGAUGGGAUGUGACAGAAGAUAUUUCCCUUCCUAAAAGCUCAGAAAAUUUAGAUAAGCCUCAAGCCCCUUCUCUCUUUCUAUCCUACUUGCACAUUCAUUUUAACUUCCCCAUUCUCACCACAUUUGUUGCUGUGUUAAAUGUGGCUGAUUACUGCAGGGCGUUUUCCUUCAGGACCCUUCUGUCUCCAAGGUGGAAGAAUUGUCCAUUUGACUCCUAGCAGAAGAAGAGUUUGGUUCUAAGUUUGGGAUGACUGGUCCAAAAGCUACUUCUGUUUCACCCCUGAGCUACAGACCUGCUCUUUAAAACUCUGAACACUUAUUUUGAUUUUUCUGAAGGCAGAAUUGUCUUCAGACAUGAGCAAGAGAGUCCUAUGUAAGCAUUAAUUAAGUUAAAUUGUGUCUGGGGAGUUUAGUCUUGUUUAAUGGCUUUGUUCGGUUAUUCUACCUGUUCAUUAUCUUUACAUAAACAUUAAAAUCCUACAAUCAUUACAUUUACUCCUCUAAAAUAAAGGAGAUUCUUAUAACAAACUUAACUCUGCAUGCUUUCUUUGUUUCCAUGUGAGUACACACAUGCACAUUUUAUUUUAUUGAAUAACUGCUUUA